rnacentral:rRNA from 1 species
GACAGAGGUGCCAAGCGUUAGGCGGAAUCACUGGGCCUAAAGCAUCCGUAGCCGGUUCUACAAGUCUUCCGUUAAAUCCACCUGCUUAACCGAUGGGCUGCGGAAGAUACUAUGGAGCUAGGAGGCGGGAGAGGCAAGCGGUACUCGAUGGGUAGGGGUAAAAUCCGUUGAUCCAUUGAAGACCACCAGUGGCGAAGGCGGCUUGCCAGAACGCGCUCGACGGUGAGGGAUGAAAGCUGGGGGAGCAAACCGG